UGCAAGUCGAACGAAGCAGCAAUGCUUAGUGGCAGACGGGUGAGUAACGCGUAGAUAAUGUGCCCUCUUGCGGGGGAUACCGUUUCGAAAGGAACGUUAAUACCGCAUAACACCCUUGAUGGGCAUCCAUCGAGGGUCAAACUUCCGGGGCGGGAGGAGCAAUCUGCGUUCUAUCAGGUAGUUGGUGAGGUAAUGGCUCACCAAGCCUACGACGGAUAACUGGUCUGAGAGGAUGAUCAGUCACACUGGAACUGAGACACGGUCCAGACUCCUACGGGAGGCAGCAGUGAGGAAUAUUGCGCAAUGGGCGAAAGCCUGACGCAGCGACGCCGCGUGGAGGAUGAAGGCCUUCGGGUUGUAAACUCCUGUCAGUGGGGAAGAGAAUGGACGGUACCCACUGAGGAAGCUUCGGCUAACUACGUGCCAGCAGCCGCGGUAAGACGUAGGGAGCAAGCGUUGUCCGGAAUUACUGGGCGUAAAGAGCUCGUAGGCGGGAUUGUAAGUCUGAAAGUAAAUCUCACGGCUCAACUGUGGGGCCUUUUCGGAUACUGCGAUUCUUGAGGAUGUCAGAGGAAAGUGGAAUUCCCGGUGUAGCGG
rnacentral:rRNA from 1 species